ensembl:ncRNA F28F9.11 ncRNA
AGAAAAAGCGGUCCCUUGAUGAAAUAUGGUGAAGAUUGAUGGCGUAGGUUGUCGCUGUGUUGCCAUUUCUUGUGUGUGAAGGUUUUCCCCGUAGGGGCUCGGGGCCGUUUUGACGAGGUGAAGCUUUUGACAAGUGUCGGCGGCGGCAGCUUCGGAGAAUUGUUUUGCCUGGAGAAGUGUUUGAUUGGCAGG